GAGACAGCAGCCGCCGCGGUAAUACAGAGGGUGCGAGCGUUAAUCGGAUUUACUGGGUUUAAAGGGUCCGUAGGCGGAUCUGUAAGUCAGUGGUGAAAUCUCACAGCUUAACUGUGAAACUGCCAUUGAUACUGCAGGUCUUGAGUAAAUUUGAAGUGGCUGGAAUAAGUAGUGUAGCGGUGAAAUGCAUAGAUAUUACUUAGAACACCAAUUGCGAAGGCAGGUCACUAAGAUUUAACUGACGCUGAUGGACGAAAGCGUGGGGAGCGAACAGGAUUAGAUACCCCCGUAGUCCCUGUCUCUUAUAC
rnacentral:rRNA from 1 species